rnacentral:rRNA from 1 species
UACGUAGGGUGCAAGCGUUAAUCGGAAUUACUGGGCGUAAAGCGUGCGCAGGCGGUUGUGUAAGACAGAUGUGAAAUCCCCGGGCUCAACCUGGGAACUGCAUUUGUGACUGUAGAGCUGGAGUACGGUAGAGGGGGAUGGAAUUCCGCGUGUAGCAGUGAAAUGCGUAGAUAUGCGGAGGAACACCGAUGGCGAAGGCAAUCCCCUGGACCUGUACUGACGCUCAUGCACGAAAGCGUGGGGAGCAAACAGG